GAAACUUAAAGGAAUUGACGGGGGCCCGCACAAGCGGUGGAGCAUGUGGUUUAAUUCGAUGAUACGCGAGGAACCUUACCUGGGCUCAAAUGUAUGUUGACGUAUUCUGAAAGGGAUACUUCUUCGGACAAUAUACAAGGUGCUGCAUGGUUGUCGUCAGCUCGUGCCGUGAGGUGUCGGGUUAAGUCCCAUAACGAGCGCAACCCCUAUCAUUAGUUGCCAUCAGGUCAAGCUGGGGACUCUAAUGAAACUGCCUACGCAAGUAGUGAGGAAGGUGGGGAUGACGUCAAAUCAGCACGGCCCUUACGUCCAGGGCUACACACGUGCUACAAUGGCCGGUACAAAGGGCAGCUACCUGGUGACAGGAUGCUAAUCUCAAAAGCCGGUCUCAGUUCGGAUCGGAGUCUGCAACCCGACUCCGUGAAGUUGGAAUCGCUAGUAAUCGCGCAUCAGCCAUGGCGCGGUGAAUACGUUCCGGGGCCUU
rnacentral:rRNA from 1 species